rnacentral:rRNA from 1 species
CCUACGGGAGGCUGCAGUGGGGAAUAUUGCACAAUGGGCGCAAGUCUGAUGCAGCCAUGCCGCGUGUGUGAAGAAGGCCUUCGGGUCGUAAAGCACUUUCAGCGGGGAGGAAGGCGUUAAGGUUAAUAUCCUUGUCGAUUGACGUUACCCGCAGAAGAAGCACCGGCUAACUCCGUGCCAGCAGCCGCGGUAAUACGGAGGGUGCAAGCGUUAAUCGGAAUUACUGGGCGUAAAGCGCACGCAGGCGGUCUGUCAAGUCGGAUGUGAAAUCCCCGGGCUCAACCUGGGAACUGCAUUCGAAACUGGCAGGCUAGAGUCUUGUAGAGGAGGGUAGAAUUCCAGGUGUAGCGGUGAAAUGCGUAGAGAUCUGGAGGAAUACCAGUGGCGAAGGCGGCCCCCUGGACAAAGACUGACGCUCAGGUGCGAAAGCGUGGGGAGCAAACAGGAUUAGAUACCCCGGUAGUC